GGGCUGUAGGUGGGACUGUCUCGCGCUUCGGCUUGAAAAAGAGCCAACGGUCGUCGGCGUCGUCGUCCUCGUCGGUCCUCGUGAGGACACCGUUGUUCUGGUGGCCAGACCGGUGAUCGUGCUGAUGGGACCUGCGGAACCCCUCGCAGCCCCGGCCACGUGGGGGGAGAAGUUGGUUUCGGGACCUUGGGAUCACUACCUGCACGCUGAUUCUUCUCUCUACCUCUGGUUUUGGAGGAAACCCAAGGGAUAAGCAUCUUCUUUUCCCCCUGUGAUAAGCACGUCGGUAGCUGCUCGAUAACUGCCGCUUCUUCACCCUCCGUCCCAGAGUUAGACAUGUUGAGUGGACCACAGUGUGACCCAUAGCCUGGAGCAGAACCCCAGCGGGCCACGGCUGACCACAAACCUGUAAGUGAGAAAGGAAUGCAUCUUUUUGCAAGCUACGAAUACACGCAGGCUUUUUAACUACAGCAAGAGUUAACGCAGUUCUCAUUUAGAAAGGGGAAGAAUGGGAGACACAGAACAGUCUGGGCUGUGAUCAUUUUAAAAUCCCCUUGGAAGAUGCCGUGAAGUUUCUCUACUCUUGGCCCUGGGAAAGUUCCUUGAUCAGACUCUGAUUCUGCACUCUGAGAGAACUCCCUUGUUCCUUGACCUCCGUGGCUCAUGGAUCUACCCUUGGGGGAGGGGGUGUUCCUUGUUCAUUGUUCUCCUUGGCCACAUCUGAGAUGAGUUUUGGGGAGAAAUCUCUCGUUUGGUGCUGCAGAGCCUUUGAAGUUGCCCUGCUACUCAUGGAAAGUUGGAGGACCCGGGUUUGUUUUUUUUGUCUACGGUAGUCCAGGGCAUUUCAGUCUCGACUUACAGUUUCUUUAACAGUAUAAUUACCUCCAAAUUUAGUAAUCUAUUUUUACAUAGUUCCGUGCGCUGCAACGACAAAGUUUUUUCUGGACAUAAUUCUCAAAUAUCUUUUCUUUCUUUACCCCCGUACCUCUCUCAAAUUAUGGCUAAAAAUACUUAGAACAACGUGUGGAAAGACCGCCCCCUUAAUUUGGUCUCUGUCUGGAGUCACUUUGAGAAGUUUUAGUAGGCAAAACUUCAUUUGUGUCCUGCACCCACAUGGUUUUUCCAACUUUGCAAGGCCCUUGUUUUCUGGGUCCACCUGUAUCCUUUUAUUUCUCUUCAGAAACCAACCACUUCUUUCGUGGGUCAUCUUUUUCACAUAAUAUCCUCCCAAACAGAGUCAAUACAACCUAACGCGUGCUGCUAACAUUUUGCAUUUCAUCCUCAUCCAUUAUAAUACCGACUAUGGUAACGUCACCAUCUGUACUGAUAGAACCAAAUGUUUUGCCAUUAACUGGAAUAGACCUUUAGUCAUCCAGCCCGUUUGGGUCUCCUUGCCAUCAAGCUGCCCGACCCCUAAGGCAGUGCUGCAUAUUUUCUUGUUUCAUCCAUUUCGGGCAUCAGUUGCUGUAUUCAGUGAGAUUAGGCUUUAGAGUGAACACCUUGGAGGGGCACCUGCAUAGCUCAGUCGGUUAAGCGUCUGACUUUUUGAUUUUGGCUCAGGUUGUGAUCUUAACAGUUCAUGAGUUCGAGCCCUGCACUGGGCACUGUGCUGGCAGUGCAGAGUCUGCUUGGGAUUCUCUCUCGUCCUCUGUCUCUGCCCCUCCCCCGCUCGAGCUCUUUUUCUCUCUCAAAAUACACGAAUCAUCAUUAAAAACAUGUUCUUUAAAUGCAUAUCUUGGCAGUUGUGAGUACAAAAGUGUCUGAAGAGACCGAAGCAAAAAUGACCGUUUAGGAGGAUAAUGUUCUUAUUGAAGCACAAGUUUUAUGUAGGUCCUACCUACGGAUACUGUAUCAAAACCAAGUCCAACAGAUUUCCCAGUCAGUUGUUUUCAGUUAUUGCUGUCUGUAAAAUAGUGACGUCUUGCUCUCCUGAUAACUAAGAUGAACGAGAAACUUGGUAAUGAAUCAUGCCGUUUGGACAGCCUGUUAUUUCUAUCAUCAUACAAAUGAAAUAGAUUGUUUAUGAUUGACCAGAGUAACAACUGAAAAUUUAAUGAAUCUGCCGCAGUCUUGUCACUUCAAACAUGAAAGGCAGUCUGUGGAGAGAACAUUCUUGCUUAGUUUCAGUGUAAGGAAUUCGGCAGUCAGCACGAGCUCCUCUGGUUAGAAAUGCAAACACAGGACCCUUGGGGCAAACACUUGCUCACUUGCUGUUUGAAUCCCCCUCAGGACCAAUUUCAAGCCCAAUAAAAUAUAUGAUUUUGACAUUAAUAGAAAAUACACAUUAACAAACACUCAGGUCAAGGAGAUCUAUGAAAUGCUGCUUAAUUUUGAGGCAGGAGCCUGUAAUACAGAUGCAUUAGGCAGAGUGAAUGUUUUCAGUGACCAGGCCUUUUUCCUCAGUAUCCGUAAAAAGAGCCCAAUAGAGAAACCAUUCUUCCAAAGAGUAGAAUGCGGACUCUCAGGACCUGGGCUCCCAAUUUGAGGCAUUCAGUCGAAAAUGAGGAGUUCAUCGUAUACCCAAAAAGAAAAAUCACUCCAGAUUCCCGUCCUGUGGUUUUGACUCCAGGCGCUGCUGUUUGGAGCAAGUCAAUUCUGUUAAAAUAAUUUCGGGAAUAUCGUUCCUUUGUCACUAAGAAACGUGUUCAGCUGUGUUCACAAUGCGCUGUUUUACUUAAAGGUGAUACCCAUGUAAGUAUUUGUGACCAAAAAGGAAAGCGGCAGAAAAAAAGAAAGAGAUGGACUAGCUUCCACCAGAAGGUCUGUAGUUGCCCCUGGCUGUGUGGGGUCUCUGGAAACCAAACUCUGAGGUGGAUUGUAUGCAGGAAGUUGACUGGUGAGUGUUCUCAGAUCAGCACCUGUGGGGGUGUGAAGGCAGGAAGGCGGCAGAAGGAGACUUGGUGCAAUCAAAACAAAGGUUUCGUUGUGACACCUCGGAAGAUUCUGGAGCUGAAAUAUCCCUGCAGGUUUAUCCCCAACUGGGGUUAGGGCCCGGACCGUUAUUACCCUUCCCACAACUUUCCUCCCACUACUCCCCAUGCCCCACCCCGUAAGCAGCCCUCUCCAUCUCGACCAGUCAUUGAAUACAGACCGCCCGAGAGGAAGAGCUGCAAUUUGGGGGCAGGUUAUCUCUCCAGUUGUGGGAAGUCUCUGGAAAUUGACUCCGUGAGAAAAACCAGUCACCAACCCUCCCAACAGCGGAGGAGAUGAGUGUUCCUUCCAGUCCUGGAAGUGGGUAGGCGAGGCGGUGCCCCCGGUGCCCCAUAAUGUCCACUGCGCUUCUCCAUCUGGCAGAUACGCUGUUAACUGCUGUAUGAUUUGUUUUAAAGUUCUCUCUGCACCCAACGUGGGGCUUGAACUCACAACCUGGAGAUCAAGAAUCACCCGCUCUACCCACUGAGCCAGCCAGGUGCCCCCACUGUAGAAUUUAUUGUGCGGGCCUGUGUUGGGGGGCGGAGAGGGGGGGAUGAGAGAGGUGGUAACGGAGAUGGUGGAGGUGGCUAGGGAGGGAUUGGAGCCAGAUACAGGAUUUUUUCCUCCUAUGGAAUCAAAUAGCAUCAGUUUCCUUAUUGUUUAGCUUCUUCAGCAGCAGAUGAAGCCGUCAACGUCCGUUCAUUUAAAUGUAUCUAAGAAGAUUCCCCAGACUUCAGAGCUGGGAGGAACCUUGAAGAUCUUUCCGUGAAAAGCCCCAGAGAUGUUCAAAGGCCAACAUGAGAAGUUAGACUCGGGCUUCGUGCGCAUGCUUGAUGGCUGAGGCAUGACAAGUGUGGCUGAUACGGAAAGGUGAUGGUCAUCGUGGCAACCAUCUUCCCCAUCUUUUAUUCUAAAAGGACUGGGGACUCUGUUCAGAGUCCGAGGAAGACGUGAUGCUUGAAGCUGUUCUAGCCAUCUUGCGACUACGAGGGGACGGACCGGCUCUUGAAUGCCACGUGGUAUCGAGGAAGCCCUGGUUCUUGAUGCGGUGCUGCUGCAUGAACCGGCUCUGGAACUGCCUUCCUCGAGACUUCCGGGAGGCUUAUUUAUUUUUGAGAGAGAGAGAAAGCACAAGUGGGAGAGGGACAGAGAGAGAGG